rnacentral:rRNA from 1 species
UACGUAGGGGGCAAGCGUUGUCCGGAUUUAUUGGGCGUAAAGAGCUCGUAGGCGGUCUGUCGCGUCUGCUGUGAAAACCCGAGGCUCAACCUCGGGCCUGCAGUGGGUACGGGCAGACUAGAGUGCGGUAGGGGAGAAUGGAAUUCCUGGUGUAGCGGUGGAAUGCGCAGAUAUCAGGAGGAACACCGAUGGCGAAGGCAGUUCUCUGGGCCGUAACUGACGCUGAGGAGCGAAAGCAUGGGGAGCGAACAGG